rnacentral:rRNA from 1 species
UACGUAGGGUGCGAGCGUUACUCGGAGUUACUGGGCGUAAAGCGUGCGCAGGCGGUUUUGUAAGCCAGAUGUGAAAUCCCCGGGCUCAACCUGGGAAUGGCAUUUGGGACUGCAAGGCUGGAGUGUGGCAGAGGAGACUGGAAUUCCCGGUGUAGCAGUGAAAUGCGUAGAUAUCGGGAGGAAUACCGAUGGCGAAGGCAGGUCUCUGGGCUGACACUGACGCUCAUGCACGAAAGCGUGGGGAGCAAACAGG